AUGGACUGGACUUUGAGAGUCAUCUUGUUGGUUGCAGCAACUACAGAUGGCCAAUCCCAGGUCCAGCUGAAACAAUAUGGAGCUGAACUGAAGAAGCCUGAGUCGUCAGUGAAGAUCUCCUGCAAGAUAUCUGGAUAUACCUUCACUGAAUACUAUGUGAAUUGGAUGCGUCAGAUCCAUGGACAUGGGUUUGAGUGGAUCAGAAGGGUUAAUCCAAGCAAUGGUGGAACAGACUACUCACAGAAGUUCCAGGGCAGAGUCACCAUAACCAGUGAAAAGUCCACAAGCACAGCCUACAUGGAUCUAAGCAGUCUGGGCUCUGAGGACACCAUAUCCUGA